UACGUAGGGCGCAAGCGUUAUCCGGAAUUAUUGGGCGUAAAGAGCUCGUAGGCGGUUUGUCGCGUCUGCCGUGAAAGUCCGGGGCUCAACCCCGGAUCUGCGGUGGGUACGGGCAGACUAGAGUGAUGUAGGGGAGACUGGAAUUCCUGGUGUAGCGGUGAAAUGCGUAGAUAUCAGUCGGAACACCGGUGGCGAAGGCGGCUUCUUGGGCCGUUUCUGACGCUGAGGCGCGAAAGCCAGGGGAGCGAACGGG
rnacentral:rRNA from 1 species